AUGGAGAUACUACUGUAUGGACUCAUACUGAUGAUUAUUUCAUCUGUUAGUGGUCAGUCUUUGACCUCCUCAGAUUCUGUGGUGAAAAAGCCUGGAGAAUCAGUGACUCUGUCCUGCACUGUGUCUGGAUUCUCAAUGAGCUGGUGGAUGGGCUGGAUUCGUCAGAAACCAGGGAAAGGGCUGGAGUGGAUUGGCCAUAUUGACCCUGGCACUGGCACUAUUUUUGCUCAGUCUCUUCAGGGCCAGUUCUCCAUCACCAAAGACAAAAACAUGCCAAGACUGAAGACACCAUCUGUUGGUGUCAAACACUGA